AUUGCCUCAGUAACGGCGAGUGAAGCGGCAAGAGCUCAAAUUUGAAAGCUGGCCCCCUGCGGGGUCCGCGUUGUAAUUUGCAGAGGAUGCUUCGGGCACGGCCCCCGUCUAAGUGCUCUGGAACGGGCCGUCGGAGAGGGUGAGAAUCCCGUCUGGGACGGGGAGUCCGGGUCCGUGUGAAGCUCCUUCGACGAGUCGAGUUGUUUGGGAAUGCAGCUCUAAAUGGGUGGUAAAUUUCAUCUAAAGCUAAAUACUGGCCGGAGACCGAUAGCGCACAAGUAGAGUGAUCGAAAGAUGAAAAGCACUUUGAAAAGAGAGUUAAACAGCACGUGAAAUUGUUGAAAGGGAAGCGCUUGCGAUCAGACUCGCCCGCGGGGUUCAGCCGGCAUUCGUGCCGGUGUACUUCCCCGUGGGCGGGCCAGCGUCGGUUCGGGUGGCCGGUCAAAGGCCCCGGGAAUGUAUCGCCCUCCGGGGCGUCUUAUAGCCCGGGGUGCCAUGCGGCCUGCCUGGACCGAGGAACGCGCUUCGGCACGGACGCUGGCGUAAUGGUCGUAAGCGGCCCGUCUU
rnacentral:rRNA from 1 species